rnacentral:rRNA from 1 species
GGCGCUGGAGAACUGAGGGGGGCUGCUCCUAGUACGAGAGGACCGGAGUGGACGCAUCACUGGUGUUCGGGUUGUCAUGCCAAUGGCACUGCCCGGUAGCUAAAUGCGGAAGAGAUAAGUGCUGAAAGCAUCUAAGCACGAAACUUGCCCCGAGAUGAGUUCUCCCUGACUCCUUGAGAGUCCUGAAGGAACGUUGAAGACGACGACGUUGAUAGGCCGGGUGUGUAAGCGCAGCGAUGCGUUGAGCUAACCGGUACUAAUGAACCGUGAGGCUUAACCUUACAACGCCGAAG